CACAGCUACUGUGACUUUUGUCAUGUCAACCUCUGUUUAUCAUGUAUAGGCAAACACAUUUCAGAUGGAUAUGACAAACAUAAAAUAGUUCCUUUCCAGGAACGAAGAUCAACCCUCAUUUAUCCAAAAUGUGAAACACAUCAACACAAAAAUUGUAAAUUUCAAUGCAAGGAUUGCAACAACAUUUUUGUUUGCUCUUCCUGCAUGGCAUCAAAACAGCACAAGGGACAUAACUUUGUAGAAGUUACAGAAGUUUACAAAACAAAGAAAAAUGAUAUUAAAAAAGAUACAAAAGAGCUUGAAAAUCAUAUUUCCCCUACAUAUGAAGAAAUUGAACGCGACUUGGAAAAUCAGCUAGCCAACCUGGAUGGAGGAUAUGAGAAAAUUACAACAACAAUGUCCAAACAAGGAGAGCAAUGGCACAGGGAAAUCGACGUCAUCAUCAACAAAAUGAAAACUGAAAUUAGUAAGAUAAAAGAGAGACACGGGGAACUUUUACAGAAACAUUUGAAUGAAAUCAAACAGACACAGUCUCUCAUUAAAGAAACAUUACAUGCCUUAAGGAAAAUUGAGAAAUCCACUGAAAUAUCUUCAACCAUGGAAUACUGCCCCAAGAUCAGAGAGUUUAGCAAACUUCCACCCAAGGUUAAGGUAUCACUGCCAACAUUCAUUCCAAAACCAAUAGACCGUGAGAAGCUGUAUAGUUUGUUUGGACAGAUUACCCCGUUAUCUACCGCUACAGAAGAAAAUGUCUUGUUACCUAACCAACCCAACACUUUAGUUAGAGAACUACUGGAUGAACCAGAGCUUGUUGUCACAAUACAGACUGGGUAUAAAAGUUUACGCAGUGUUACCUGUCUUAAUGAAGACAGGAUAUGGAUAAGUGGACAGACCAAUGAUAUCAAAUGCUUCAACAUUAAAGGUUCACUCCUCCAGACAAUCCAGAAAAAAUCAGGUUGCUGGCCCAAUGAUAUAGCGGUAAACAGUAAUGAAGAUUUACUGUACUUAGAUGGUGAAGCAAAGACAGUGAACAAAGUAAUGAAUGGAAAGACAGAAAAGUUGAUCAGAUUACAGGGAUGGAAGCCUAGUAGGCUGUGUGUCACCUCUACUGGUGAUCUCCUGGUUACCAUGUUCAGUGAUGAUUGGACUCAAUCCAAAGUUGUCCGUUACUUGGGAUCCACAGAGAAACAUACAAUUCAAUUCGAUGAUGAAGGUAAACCUCUAUACUCAGGGAAUGCUAAUCCUAAAUACACCACAGAGAACAGAAACCAUGACAUCUGUGUAGCUGACUGGGCGGCUCGUGCAGUAGUUGUGGUAAAUCAGGAUGGGAAACUCAGAUGGAGAUACACCGGUCAUCCCUCAGUUACCAAGAACAAACCAUUUGAACCCUGGGGUAUCACAACAGACAGCCAGAGUCAUAUCCUGACAGCAGACAUUAACAACCAUUGUAUCCACAUUCUGGAUCAUAAUGGACAGUUUCUCCGUUACAUUGAUAACUGUGGUCUGAAGCAUCCUACUGGUUUAUGUGUGGACAAUAAUGACAAUCUGUUUGUGUGUGAGUUUUACAAAGGCAAUGUAAAGAAAAUCAAAUAUCUAAAGUAGACAUCAUCAAUUGUACAAAUGAGAUGCAAAUCAAACAAAAACAGCCUUUUCGUAUGCAUAUUGAAUUUCAUUGUUUAAACUUCACUUUCUUCAUACUGUUGAACUAGUAAAUUUUACUCAUUCAUAAAAUAAAUUUUAUUAAGUUUAUUU
rnacentral:misc_RNA from 1 species